UACGGAGGGUGCAAGCGUUGUUCGGAUUUACUGGGCGUAAAGCGCGUGUAGGCGGCUUUGCAAGUCGGAUGUGAAAUCCCACGGCUCAACCGUGGAAGUGCAUCCGAAACUGCAUCGCUGGAGUCUCGGAGAGGAAGGUGGAAUGCUUGGUGUAGAGGUGAAAUUCGUAGAUAUCAAGCAGAACACCUGCGGCGAAGGCGGCCUUCUGGACGAUGACUGACGCUGAGACGCGAAAGCGUGGGGAGCAAACAGG
rnacentral:rRNA from 1 species